AUACAGAGGGUGCAAGCGUUAAUCGGAAUUACUGGGCGUAAAGCGCGCGUAGGCGGUUUGAUAAGUCGGAUGUGAAAUCCCUGGGCUCAACCUGGGAACUGCAUUCGAAACUGUCUGACUAGAGUAUGGUAGAGGGUGGUGGAAUUCCUAGUGUAGCGGUGAAAUGCGUAGAUAUUAGGAGGAACAUCAGUGGCGAAGGCGACCACCUGGACCAAUACUGACGCUGAGGUGCGAAAGCGCGGGGAGCAAACAGGAUUAGAAACCCUAGUAGUCC
rnacentral:rRNA from 1 species